rnacentral:rRNA from 1 species
UUGAUCCUGCCGGACCCGACUGCUAUCAGAAUAGGACUAAGCCAUGCGAGUCAACGUAGCAAUACGUGGCAUACGGCUCAGUAACACGUAGUCAACAUGCCCAGGGGACGUGGAUAACCUCGGGAAACUGAGGAUAAACCGCGAUAGGUCAUAGUAUCUGGAAUGAUUUAUGGCUUAAAUCUAUAUGGCCUCUGGAUUGGACUGCGGCCGAUCAGGCUGUUGGUGAGGUAAUGGCCCACCAAACCUAAAACCGGUACGGGCUCUGAGAGGAGAAGCCCGGAGAUGGGCACUGAGACAAGGGCCCAGGCCCUAUGGGGCGCAGCAGGCGCGAAAACUCUGCAAUAAGCGAAAGCUUGACAGGGUUAUUCUGAGUGAUUUCCGCUAAGGAAAUCUUUUGGCACCUCUAAAAAUGGUGCAGAAUAGGGGGUGGGCAAGCCUGGUGUCAGCCGCCGCGGUAAUACCAGCACCCCGAGUGGUCGGGACGAUUAUUGGGCCUAAAGCAUCCGUAGCCGGUUCUACAAGUCUUCCGUUAAAUCCACCUGCUUAACAGAUGGGCUGCGGAGGAUACUAUGGAGCUAGGAGGCGGGGGAGGCAAGCGGUACUUAGUGGGUAGGGGUAAAAUCCUCUGAUCCACUGAAGACCACCAGUGGCGAAGGCGGCUUGCCAGAACGCGCUCGACGGUGAGGGAUGAAAGCUGGGGGAGCAAACCGGAUUAGAUACC